CAUGCACCAGUGGGGUCCCUCGGCCUGGCCUGUGCCUUCUCGCACCCCUCAGGGAAUGUCGGAGAGGCGGUUUCAGCCUGAUCCCGCAGGCCAGGCCGAGGGACUCCACUGGUGCAUG
rfam:Myotis lucifugus cont2.34419, whole genome shotgun sequence.